rnacentral:rRNA from 1 species
GGCAGCAGCUAUAUCUCCCCGCAGCUCUCAACGCUACCCACUGAAGCUAAGCAGGGUUGAGCCUGGUCAGUACCUAUUUGGGAGACCUCCUGGGAAGCUAUGGUUGCUGCUGGAA